rnacentral:tRNA from 2 species
GGAGAGGUGGCAGAGUGGUCGAAUGCGACAGACUCGAAAUCUGUUGUACGGUUUUCCCGUACCGUGGGUUCGAAUCCCACCCUCUCCGCCA